rnacentral:rRNA from 1 species
CCUACGGGAGGCAGCAGUGGGGAAUAUUGCACAAUGGGGGAAACCCUGAUGCAGCGACGCCGCGUGAGUGAUGAAGUAUUUCGGUUUGUAAAGCUCUAUCAUCAGGGAAGAAAAUGACGGUACCUGAUUAAUAAGCCCCGGCUAACUACGUGCCAGCAGCCGCGGUAAUACGUAGGGGGCAAGCGUUAUGCGGAUUUACUGGGUGUAAAGGGAGCGUAGGCGGGAGCACAAGUCAGAAGUGAAAUGCCGGGGCUUAACCCCGGAACUGCUUUUGAAACUGUGCAGCUAGAGUGCAGGAGAGGUAGGUGGAAUUCAUGGUGUAGGGGUGAAAUGCGUAGAGAUUAAGAGGAACA